GCAUCGACAGCUCAGUGGCAGAGCGUUGGAACGUUGACCCAUGCGGCUUGGGUUCGAGCCCCGGUUGAUGCA